rnacentral:rRNA from 1 species
UACGUAGGGUGCGAGCGUUGUCCGGAUUUAUUGGGCGUAAAGCGCGUGUAGGCGGCCCGUUGGGUCUGCUGUGAAAACUCGAGGCUCAACCUCGAGACGUCGGCGGAAACCAUCUGGCUAGAGUCCGGAAGAGGAGAGUGGAAUUCCUGGUGUAGCGGUGAAAUGCGCAGAUAUCAGGAAGAACACCCGUGGCGAAGGCGGCUCUCUGGGACGGUACUGACGCUGAGACGCGAAAGCGUGGGGAGCGAACAGG